rnacentral:rRNA from 1 species
CACGUAGGGGACGAGCGUUGUCCGGAUUCAUUGGGCGUAAAGCGCGCGUAGGCGGCUCGGAAAGUCGGUCGUGAAAUGCCGGGGCUCAACCCCGGGACUGCGUCCGAUACUCCCGAGCUGGAGGCAGGUAGGGGAGAUCGGAAUUCCUGGUGUAGCGGUGAAAUGCGCAGAUAUCAGGAGGAACACCGGUGGCGAAGGCGGGUCUCUGGGCCGAUGACUGACGCUGAGGAGCGAAAGCGUGGGGAGCGAACAGG